rnacentral:lncRNA from 1 species
CAUCAUUAAUCCAAUGCCACAGAAAUACGAAUUCUUACUUUUCAACAAAUUUUGGUGACAACUUGUCUACCAAGGAAAGGAAAGCAACACCUAUAAGGAAACUUUUGAUUUGUCAUCAUGUAUGUAUAUUUAAACUUACUUAAAAUAGUAUAAUUUAUAAUGGGCUUAAUUUACAUUUUUCCCCUAAAAGUUCAAGAACAUCUCAAUGAUCGUAGUGUUCCGAAGACUAAUGAGUCCCUAUUUAUGUCAGAGAAAAUAGAAGCUCAGAGAGAUAAAGACUAUUGGCAAGGAUCAUACUGCAAGUUUAGCAAUAUACUCAGUGCAGUCAAUUGGGAAUCCUAAUAAAACCACAAAAAUUACCAUUUUACAUUUUUUAUUAACUUAUAAUUUUUACUGAAUUCAAAAUACUGUAUAGGACAGUUUUAUUGCUGGCUUAGGUAACUGAAAAAAUUAUUAAUUUAAUUAUUUUUAUAAUUUGUAACCAAUAUGGUAUGGCUUAUAUCUUCCCUUUUUCUUCAUGAAUUUAGGGACUUAGAAAAUAUUAUAUCCUGAUGGAUAUUUAAGUCCUAAGAAGGUAAAAAACACAGAUUGAUGUUGGCCCCUCUUCCACCUUUAUUCAUAGAAAUUCCAAGUGCCAAAAGCCUGCGCUGCUGGUUACCGAUCAUCAUACCUAAAUAUUGAUUCUUCUAAAACUUGUAUUUUGAGACUUUCCUCAUUUUAGAAUUACAGGUGGAGAGUCAUUUUUCUCUGAUACAAACUGUAUGCAAUAAAGAAGGAGGCAGUCCCACACAAUAAAUAUGUAGGGAAUGGUUUUCCACCUCUGCAUGCUACAGAAAAUCCCACUGAGUUAAGUAGGGUUCUACCAAGGCCACUUAAACAUAUUAGCCUAUUAUGCUCCACAUUUCUUUAUUGUUCUCAAAAAGCUAAUGAAAUGUUCCAGUGUAAUGUUUAUGCUGGAGUACUUUUAACGGCAUUUUAGAAGUGAUGUUUCUCUCAUAACUCCAGAAGGGGGUUCCACUUCCUAGAAGUAUUUAGUAGACCAUGCAGAGACCAUGCCGUCUCUUUACUCAGACUGUUUAGGUGCAUAGCUGGAGAAGAAAAUCCUUAAAGGUAAUCAGUUAAGAGUUUCAGUGUGGGUUUUAACAUCAUUGCAAGUGACAGGAAUCUAAAAAUCUGGCAAGUAUACAUGGCAUACUGUACUACUGAAUUAAGUAGGUUUAAAAUACUGUGCAUUGUCUAUUCAUACAUAACAUUGAGUUAUAUUGUCAAUCUACUGGUUCAAAGUAUCAGUGUAAAAUUAAAGAAUCAAUUGUUUUUCCAGAUUCAUUUAUUUUUAGAAAUAUAAGGAAAUAUAAUCAUCUAUCGCUGAAACUCAACCAGUUAUCUUCCUUGUUGGGGUGUCAGUUUCUUCAUCCGUUACGAUGAAAGAAUCAGACCUGUUGAUAUCUAUGAUCACUUCUGGUUCUAACAUUUGCUGCUUUAUGUUUCUAAAUAGCAACACUAUCGAAGAAUAGCAAGGUAGGCAAAGAACAAGGAACAAAAUUUAUUACGUACUAACUUUUUAGUAAAAUUAAAGGUAUAUAACUAUGCCUUGAGUCGCCAUAUACAAUGACUUCACCUACUAAACAUCACCAAUAAUAUGAAUGACAAGUUGAAUGUUAAGGUCAUCUGUGGUAAAAUUAAGGUUAAACCCAAGAUUAAUAAUAUAAAAAUGGAUCAAGAAAUGAAAGAAUUUUAAAUUUCUAUUGAACUAACAUGUGAUACAUCUUGACAAACAGUGAUUUCUUAUAAAAUAAUUAUCAGUUAAAACAACAACUUAGAUAGAUCUUAGAGUUUUUUUCUUUUUAUCUUCAAGAAAUCAUACUAUAAUAUUAAAAAAAAGUAUUUAACAGAGUUCAUAGCACUGACAUCUACUGGAUAAUCCUAAAAAUGUCCUGCUCUUUUUUUGAAAUGAGACACAAACUUUCAACACAAAUACUGCAAUUAAUUAAUGACAACUAUGUUCCACAUGCUUUAUUUGUAUUCACUCACGUAACCCUUCCAUCAAAACUGGAAAGUAAGUACUAUUAGAAAUCAGAACCAUAGGAGUUGCUGUCAGUAACGCUAGAAUAUCAAUGGGUACACCAGUUUUUUAGUGUGCAACAUUAACACAGUGUGGCACAGUGUUUUAAUAAAUAACUAUGACUCAGAUCAAAUGGUUAUGUUUUUUAUAUUCUUUCUAAUACUAACCAUGUAAGUAACUUAUUCUUCCAUACAUGAAAGUAAAAACAGAAGAGAUGCAAUUGGAAAGUAUACACUUUUUUUCUCACUAUAAUUGUGAAGACAUAUCCAUAAAUUAUUAGGGGCAUAAAAACCAGUAACCACUGAGAAUGAAACUGUUUGAAAUUACUUUGCAGGCUUUUAAAGAAAUGAAUUUUUGUAGCAUAAUGAACAUUAAAAUGGGCACAAUGAACCUAUAUUAUAGUCCUGAAGCUUCCACCAUCAAAUUGUAUCAUCUUGGGCAAGGUACUAAACUAUUAGGUGAAUUAGUUUUAUUUUUUCCUAAAAUUGGGAGAUUUAGAUCUCAAAGAUUCCUUCCAAUUUGAUAGCAAGCUAUGUAUAAAGUUACUAAUGAUUUACUUUGUUCAUUUAUUGUGCAACAGUUACUAAUCUAAAUGAGUGUUAUACUCACAGCUUUAACUAAAUUACAGCAAAGAUCUGGCCGGCUUUAUAAUCAUCCCUCUAACUGCAGCUCUGAUAUAAUAAGGUGCUGUCUUGAAUACUGCAGAGUAUGUCAUUUUCAUUUCUGCUCAAGAUUUAAGUGAAAAUAUCUCUUUGCAGUAAUCAGAUAAUAUAAAAUCUAAGAAAUGCCUAAAUACUAAGACUUAAUCUUCUUGACCUUUUUAUAAUUUUUGACCACCAUAUAAAAGUCAGUCUGCUAACCUUGACCUCUAAUAUUGCCAAGUACUAAAAAAAGUUCUUAGAUGUAGUACCUGAGCCAAGAGUAAGAGGCAUGAAAAAGGUGAAGGGAAGGACAGAAGUAUUAUUAUUCAGAAACACAUGUCUUAUGCUUCCCACUAUUUCUUUAGUUAUAUUAGUUUUAGGAACUAUUUUAACACAUGACUAUAGAUAGAAGUCAUGUGUGGCAGGCUGGUAUUGUAAGUAAAAACAAAAAAAAUCAUGGGAACAACGGAAAUUUAGGUCCCAGUGUUUAAUCAUUUCUACCACUAGAAAUACUUGACAAGCAUACCACCUUCUGUGUGUUCUGGAAACUGUCUGAAGAUAAAGCCAGAUACCAGAAAUUCAGCCUCUAUAUUUUGGGCAUUAAAAGGUCAUUUGAAAAGGAGAGCCCAGGUCAAGAGCAAGCCCAUAGGCCUACUCUGGAAAUUUCACUAGAGGGUGCUCUUGGGCUUUUAUGAGUUGUCAAUUCUCCAAUAAGAAAACCAAGUAUCUCUUAGAAAAUACAUUCUGCCUUAGCAUAACUUGGACUUCAUCAUGGUACCCAUAGCCAAUAUUUCAACUCAGAUAUAAAGAUAUCUCAAGUAGACAUUGAGGCAAGUUCUUAUUUUCCUUUGUAACUGCCUUGUUUCUAUUGGUAGUACACGUGUAGGCUUCAUAAAUGUAGGUUUCACAAGGGGUCUCCAAAAGUCCACAUUCCAGUUAGAUAACUACAGAAACUUCCUGAGAUGUCAGAGUGAAAUUAAAUGUGGUUAACUGAUGGAGCUAUUUUUGCAAAUAUAUUUUUUAAACAUAUUUCAAUCUUGUAAUAGGUUCAUAAUUUAUAUACCUUCUGAAAGGAUUUUAAUUAUUCUGUAGGACCUGUAGAGGUAAUCUUACUGUCAAAUAGAUCAAUCUGAAGCAAUUAUUUAUAUUUAUUAUUCACAUUUACAAUGGCAUCAAAUAUUGAGAACUGAAUAAGUACUCAAUAAAUAUUUCUUGAUCAUUUUUGCAUAUAUAAAUUUCUGUACUAUGUUUGAUAGGAUGACAUAUGAUUAAAUCUUAAUCUCUCUGCUCCAUAUGUUAGAAUUCUUUUCCUAUACCAGUAGUUUCACCUUUCUUGAUAUAAUAUUACAUGGCUUAUUCUAGUUAUUUCUAAUCAUAGAUGCUUUCUAUAUGCUUCCAGUUUUUGCUAUGUUCUUAAGAGAAAAUGGACAUGGCAAUUGUCUUGUUAAACUUUUUAAUGUUAGUUUUUAUUUAUUAGAAAGAUUGAGCAGGCUUUUUGGCUACACAUUAAAAAACUAGCAAUGACAUAUAACCAUACAUAGCAAUCUUCUUGAGAAUAAAAAUGAAAGGCUACAAUUCUUUUUCACAUUCAUAAUGUAAAAUUUUUCUGAACCACUGAUGUCCACUGGCCACUAUGGCUGAUACCAUGUUGACCUUAUCAUCACACAUGUUGCAAUCUUGAUGGCUUUAGCAUCUUUAGGGUUGAUAGGAUAAUUCUGAAAGUGAUUAUGGACAUACUAAGGUUUUGUCUGCAUUUCCAAUUUGGUUAAAUUUGAAGUUUCAUUAUUCCCUAAUUGAAUCAAGCUUAAUUAUCUUGAAGUUUCUCUCAAAAAUAAUCUUGAACCUUCUAACAAAUUCUGGGCUAAACAGUAUUCCUUUAGAAUGCAUACUUUUUUAAAAAAAUGUAUUUUAAUUUCUCAUUUGAUAAAAGACAAGCUAGUUUCACUUGUGAACUCUGGUUCUUUUCAUCCACUGACAUAGACUGCAACCAGCACUGAAAGGUUGGGAAAUUUUGAAGUGGAUUCAAAGCUCUUAUGGUCACCUGAGCCCUUAAGGGCUCCUCUUUGAGAAGCACCAGAGAGUUUAAUCAUAUACAUCUGAUGCAUGCUAUCUCCCUAUUCAACUUGCAGAGUCAACCAGCAUAUAUUCAAAGUGUACCUUAUCCAAGUUUGUUGGAAAUAAGCUUAAGUAAAUCUAUCAAGAAUUGGCAAAAGCUGGUUCUUUGAAAAGAUCAACAAAAUUUGAGUUCCCAUCGUGGCUCAGUGGUUAACGAAUCCAACUAGGAACCAUGAGGUUGCGGAUUCGAUCCCUGGCAUUGCUCAGUGGGUUAAGGAUCCGGCGUUGCUGUGAGCUGUGCUGUAGGUUGCAGAUGCGGCUCAGAUCCUGAGUUGCUGUGGCUCUGGCGUAGGCUGGCAGCUACAGCUCCCAUUGAAUCCCUAGCCUGGGAACCUCCAUAUGCUGCGGGAGUGACCCAAGAAAUGGCAAAAAGACAAAAAAAAGAAAGAAAGAAAACCUCUUAACUAUUCAUAAGUCUAUGUUUAACCUGAUUAUUUUAUACAUUAGGACACAGAAAAAAUAAGUACUUCCUAUCCCAUGGCAGUACAUAACAGGUCUUAUUCAGAGUUCCUAACCCAAUGUUCUUUCUGUUUCACAACUUUCCAUUGCUGUUUGUUUUUUCCUGAAGGACCAAUGCAUUAUAUCAUAAGUUCAUGAUGACUUCCACUAAAAUUUCAGGGAAAGAAAAGAGAUAUAAAGAAAAAUACUCUUAAGCAUCCAACUCUUCAAUUCAGGUAAACUUCUUAUGUGCAAUGGUCUAAUGGUGAACUGACUUAGAUGAACUGGCAUGCUCAUUAAAAAAUGUAUGCAUCACACAGUACGAUUAAUGUUCUAACUGACUAGAGUGACCUUGUAUGUUCCCGCGGUUACCCAGCCUAUGUCAUCCUGAAUAAGAUGCACCCUGUAUUUCUCUGAAAGUCAGCCCAGCAUGAAAAUACUGCCUACUUUGUAGGAAUAAGAGUGCAGGUGUACUCUUUGCUUUAAGAAGAUACAAUAAGCCAAAUUCUGAAAUUACCAAACAGAUAAAUUAGGGGGUGAUUAUUCACAUUAUAAAAGGAUUCACCACAGGAUGCUUUUAAAUCAUAAGCUGCUCUACUGAAUUUUAAAUAAGUUGAUUUACAAAGCUUCCUUUAUAAGUACUUUUCACAAUCUAGAGUCCAUGGUGACCUCAUCCAAAGGCAGUGAGAGAUUGGUGAACGUAAAAAGUCCUACCACUUACUACUUGCUAGGCCAAGAUUCUUUAUCCAUAUGAAAGAGUAAUUAGUACCAUAAUUCAUUUUUGAAAAAUUAAUGAAUCUUUCACUCCUGAAAAAAUUAACAUCUUCUGAGUACUUACUGUGUGCCUGGCACAGUGCUGAGCAUUUUACAUAAUAAUCACAUUUACUCCUCCUCACCACAACUCUGGAAGAUUAAUACAAUUAUCCCAAUUACAGAUGAGGAAAUUGGGACUCAGAGAAGAUGGAGUUAAGUAACUUGACUAAGUUUAUGCAGCUAACAAAUAAAUGAUGGUGCCAGAAUUCAGAGCCAGAUCCAUCCAAAGCUCUUGCCCUUGCAUGCCUUACAGUACUAUUUCAGAUAAAAUUAAUGGUGUCUGUUACCUCUCACCUAACUGAGCAUAGCUGUACUCUAAUGUACUAUUUCAGUGGAGCAAUUCUGUCUACUGAAACAGAGACCAGCCAUACAAUCUGUUUACACAGAGACAAGGAACUCACCGAUGAGGCUGCCUAUUCUGAUUACUGCACUGCUAUAUUAAGCCAGAACCUAUCUCCUUAUAAUUCCCAUAUAUUAGUCCUAGCUUUGCUCUAGAGCUGUUGAAAAUGACCAUAACCUCAUUUCAUCAUAGCUAUCAUAUUUCCCUCAUGGUUUUUUCUUUGCAAGGUGAAAUUCUCCAGUUCUC